rnacentral:sRNA from 1 species
AGCAGCCGCGGUAAUUCCAGCUCCAAUAGCGUAUAUUAAAGUUGUUGCAGUUAAAAAGCUCGUAGUUGAAUUUCGGGGUUAGUAGGUUGGUCAUGCCUCUGGUAUGUACUGGUCUCACUGAUUCCUCCUUCCUGAUGAGCCGUAAUGCCAUUAAUUUGGUGUUGCGGGGAAUUUGGACUGUUACUUUGAAAAAUUAGAGUGUUUAAAGCAAGCUAACGCUUGAAUACAUUAGCAUGGAAUAAUGAAAUAGGACGUUCGAUCCUAUUUUGUUGGUUUCUAGGAUUGACGUAAUGAUUAAUAGGGAUAGUUGGGGGCAUUAGUAUUCAAUUGUCAGAGGUGAAAUUCUUGGAUUUAUUGAAGACUAACUACUGCGAAAGCAUUUGCCAAGGAUGUUUUCAUUAAUCAAGAACGAAAGUUAGGGGAUCGAAGACGAUCAGAUACCGUCGUAGUCUUAACCAUAAACUAUGCCGACUAGGGAUCGGAUGAUGUUAAUUUUUUAAUGACUCAUUCGGCGCCUUAA